rnacentral:rRNA from 1 species
GAUGAACGCUGGCGGCGUGCCUAACACAUGCAAGUCGAGCGAACAGACGAGGAGCUUGCUCCUCUGACGUUAGCGGCGGACGGGUGAGUAACACGUGGAUAACCCACCUAUAAGACUGGGAUAACUUCGGGAAACCGGAGCUAAUACCGGAUAAUAUAUUGAACCGCAUGGUUCAAUAGUGAAUGACGGCUUUGCUGUCACUUAUAGAUGGAUCUGGGCCGCAUUAGCUGGUUGUUAAGUUAACGGCUUACCAAGGCAACGAUGCGUAGCCGACCUGAGAGGGGGGUCGGCGACACUGGAGCUGGACCAGGGACCAGACUACUACGGGAGGCAGCAGAAGGGUAUGUGACGCAAUGGGCGAAAGCCUGACGGAGCAACGCCACGUGAGUGGUGACGGUCUUGGGAUCGUGAUGCUCGGUUACGGGGGAAGAACAGAUGUGUCAGGAGCUAUACACGGCUUGACGGUAACUGGUCAAAAAGCCACGGCUAACUACGUG